rnacentral:lncRNA from 1 species
UUAUUUGGGGGUGGUUGUGUAUGAAAUACCAAAAUGCAAAGGGAGUGUUGUUCUUAUUAAUUUUUAAUUCUGUCGGUGCUGGGAUUUUUUUUUAAAAGGGCUUAGGGCUGUCCCUUAGGGGCGGACAUAGUAUUUUCUGGAACAGACAUAAUUUUAUUAACACAUGUUCAAUUUAACAACAAAUUUAUUUUUUAAAUAAGAACAAAGGUUAAUC